rnacentral:tRNA from 1 species
GCCUGGCUGGCUCAGUUGGUUGGGCAUCCGACUUCGGCUUGGGUCAUGAUCUCAUGGUCUGUGGGUUCGAGCCCCACAUCGGGCU